rnacentral:rRNA from 1 species
GAUGAACGCUGGCGGCGUGCCUAAUACAUGCAAGUCGAGCGAACAGACGAGGAGCUUGCUCCUCUGACGUUAGCGGCGGACGGGUGAGUAACACGUGGAUAACCUCCCUAUAAGACUGGGAUAACUUCGGGAAACCGGAGCUAAUACCGGAUAAUAUAUUUAACCGCAUGGUUCAAUAGUGAAAGACGGUUUUGCUGUCACUUAUAGAUGGAUCCGCGCCGCAUUAGCUAGUUGGUAAGGUAACGGCUUACCAAGGCAACGAUGCGUAGCCGACCUGAGAGGGUGAGCGGCAACAAGGGAACUGAGAAACGGGCCAGACUCCUACGGGAGGCAGCAGUAGGGAAUCUUCCGAAAUGGGCGAAAGCCUGACGGAGCAACGCCGCGUGAGUGAUGAAGGUCUUCGGAUCGUAAAACUCUGUUAUUAGGGAAGAACAAAUGUGUAAGUAACGAUGCACGUCUUGACGGUACCUAAUCAGAAAGCAACGGCUAACUACGU